rnacentral:rRNA from 1 species
AUCGCGUUAGCUGCGCCACUAAGAUCUCAAGGAUCCCAACGGCUAGUCGACAUCGUUUACGGCGUGGACUACCAGGGUGUCUAAUCCUGUUUGCUCCCCACGCUUUCGCACCUCAGUGUCAGUAUCAGUCCAGGUGGUCGCCUUCGCCACUGGUGUUCCUUCCUAUAUCUACGCAUUUCACCGCUACACAGGAAAUUCCACCACCCUCUACCGUACUCUAGCUCAGUAGUUUUGGAUGCAGUUCCCAGGUUGAGCCCGGGGAUUUCACAUCCAACUUGCUGAACCACCUACGCGCGCUUUACGCCCAGUAAUUCCGAUUAACGCUUGCACCCUUCGUAUUACCGCGGCUGCUGGCACGAAGUUAGCCGGUGCUUAUUCUGUUGGUAACGUCAAAACAGCAAGGUAUUAACUUACUGCCCUUCCUCCCAACUUAAAGUGCUUUACAAUCCGAAGACCUUCUUCACACACGCGGCAUGGCUGGAUCAGGCUUUCGCCCAUUGUCCAAUAUUCCCCACUGCUGCCUCCCGUAGGAGUCUGGACCGUGUCUCAGUUCCAGUGUGACUGAUCAUCCUCUCAGACCAGUUACGGAUCGUCGCCUUGGUAGGCCUUUACCCCACCAACUAGCUAAUCCGACCUAGGCUCAUCUGAUAGCGUGAGGUCCGAAGAUCCCCCACUUUCUCCCUCAGGACGUAUGCGGUAUUAGCGCCCGUUUCCGGACGUUAUCCCCCACUACCAGGCAGAUUCCUAGGCAUUACUCACCCGUCCGCCGCUGAAUCCAGGAGCAAGCUCCCUUCAUCCGCUCGA